GUUGGACUUCUAAAUACAUUACCACAAUCAUGACUAGGUCGGUUGGUGUGACUUCUAAAUACAUUACCACAAUCAUGACUAGGUCGGUUGGUGUGACUUCUAAAUACAUUACCACAAUCAUGACUAGGUCGGUUGGCUGGACUUCUAAAUACAUUACCACAAUCAUGACUAGGUUGGUUGGUGGGACUUCUAAAUACAUUACCACAAUCAUGACUAGGUCGGUUGUCAGGACUUCUAAAUACAUUACCACAAUCAUGACUAGGUCGGUUGGUGUGACUUCUAAAUGCAUUACCACAAUCAUGACUAGGUCGGUUGGUGGGACUUCUAAAUACAUUACCACAAUCAUGACUAGGUCGGUUGAUGGGACUUCUAAAUACAUU
ensembl:lncRNA